GCCAGUGUGGUGUUGUGGUUUGAAUGUCAGACUAGGACAUUGGGAGACCAGGGUUCAAAUCCCUGCUCAGCUA